rnacentral:rRNA from 1 species
UACAGAGGGUGCGAGCGUUAAUCGGAAUUACUGGGCGUAAAGCGUGCGUAGACGGCUAUCUAAGUCGGGUGUGAAAGCCCCGGGCUCAACCUGGGAAUUGCAUUCGAGACUGAAUAGCUAGGGUACGGUAGAGGGAAGUGGAAUUUCCGGUGUAGUGGUGAAAUGCGUAGAUAUCGGGAGGAACACCAGUGGCGAAGGCGACUACCUGGCCUGUUCUUGACGCUGAGGCGCGAAAGCUAGGGGAGCAAACGGG